rnacentral:rRNA from 1 species
CACGCCGUAAACGAUGAGUACUAAGUGUUGGAUGUCAAAGUUCAGUGCUGCAGUUAACGCAAUAAGUACUCCGCCUGAGUAGUACGUUCGCAAGAAUGAAACUCAAAGGAAUUGACGGGGGCCCGCACAAGCGGUGGAGCAUGUGGUUUAAUUCGAAGCAACGCGAAGAACCUUACCAGGUCUUGACAUACUCAUAAAGGCUCCAGAGAUGGAGAGAUAGCUAUAUGAGAUACAGGUGGUGCAUGGUUGUCGUCAGCUCGUGUCGUGAGAUGUUGGGUUAAGUCCCGCAACGAGCGCAACCCUUAUCGUUAGUUACCAUCAUUAAGUUGGGGACUCUAGCGAGACUGCCAGUGACAAGCUGGAGGAAGGCGGGGAUGACGUCAAAUCAUCAUGCCCCUUAUGACCUGGGCUACACACGUGCUACAAUGGAUGGUACAGAGGGAAGCGAAGCCGCGAGGUGAAGCAAAACCCAUAAAACCAUUCUCAGUUCGGAUUGUAGUCUGCAACUCGACUACAUGAAGUUGGAAUCGCUAGUAAUCGCGAAUCAGCAUGUCGCGGUGAAUACGUUCUCGGGCCUUGUACACACCGCCCGUC